rnacentral:rRNA from 1 species
ACACUCCUGCGGGAGGCAGCAGUGGGGAAUUUUGGACAAUGGGCGAAAGCCUGAUCCAGCAAUGCCGCGUGAGUGAAGAAGGCCUUCGGGUUGUAAAGCUCUUUUGUCAGGGAAGAAACGGUGAGAGCUAAUAUCUUUUGCUAAUGACGGUACCUGAAGAAUAAGCACCGGCUAACUACGUGCCAGCAGCCGCGGUAAUACGUAGGGUGCAAGCGUUAAUCGGAAUUACUGGGCGUAAAGCGUGCGCAGGCGGUUUUGUAAGUCUGAUGUGAAAUCCCCGGGCUCAACCUGGGAAUUGCAUUGGAGACUGCAAGGCUAGAAUCUGGCAGAGGGGGGUAGAAUUCCACGUGUAGCAGUGAAAUGCGUAGAUAUGUGGAGGAACACCGAUGGCGAAGGCAGCCCCCUGGGUCAAGAUUGACGCUCAUGCACGAAAACGUGGGGAGCAAACAGGAUUAGAAACCCCAGUAGUCCCA